CAUUUUUAACCUUUCAUUUUCUUGGCUUUCUUAGAAUUCUACAUUUUCUGUUACUCUUGUUGCUUCGUCUUCUUGUCUCCAUUAACCCUGGACUUGGAAUCUUAGGGUUUUAUGAGUAAUUUUUUGCUUUAAAUUAGAAUUUGCGAGAUUUUAAAUAUAGGAUUUUGCUUUUUAGGAAACUAUGUAGUUGUUAGGUUUAAGCAUAUGGUUUCUUAGAAAAUAUGAAUGUGAAACUUCAAACGUGUAGUUUGUUAGAAGCUUAGAAUGUGAAAAUUUUGAACAUGUAUGGUUUUUGGGUAAUGUUGUUCUACAUACCAUUUCCUUGAACACAUAAGUAUAGGUGACUCUUUGGUAUUUCCUCCGGUGGAUUCAUCAUCCCUGAUGAAAUGGGUCAUCUGAGUGCUAGUAUAAAUAAAAUGUAUCUAGGUUGUAGAUCUUUUUUCUCAUAUCCGUGUGGUAUUAACUGUUUUAAUGCUUGAACCUCUUUUAGAAAACUAGAGGAUCGGGGCCAUGGUCCUUCCUGGCCCAAAAGACCGAAUUUCUGGGUUGUUUCCUUUAUGUUGUUUCCCUAUACACGAAUUCAAAUAUGUGGUUUCCUUUACUUUCAAGAAUUAUGGUUUUUGUUUGCAUUUUACCUCAUUUGAGCAUCAGUUAAUGUUGAGUUUGAUGUUGGCCCCUUAUAUGAUCUCCCUCUCUUGGAACCAUAUUUGAGCCUUUCAACAUUUAUGCGUUUAUCUUCAGAUAAGACCUCAAGAUGAGAUAUUUUACGAUAUAUUCCAAAUUACUUGGGAAUUUCCUAGCAUUAAGCAUUGCUUGAACAUCUGAAGGAGUUGCACUUUGGCCCAGAGAAACUAAAAAAGGGAGACUUUGCUUUGUUAUAGAAGUUAUAUGGUUAUGUUGAUUGUCUGAGUGGGCAAGUUCCACUAUAUCCUAUUGAUAUUUUUUAUUUUACUUUUUGUGAUGAGGGAUAGGGUCGCGGUUGACCUCAUCGUGCUUUUAGCAUUUUGACUUAUGAUGCUCUUAUCUUCCUUUUAA